rnacentral:lncRNA from 10 species
CAGGAGCGGGGAGCAGUUUGGCUUCCCCCCGACUUCCCCUCCCACCUCGAGGAGGGGUUGAUGGGUGGGGAACAGGCUAGGCGGGUUGGGGGCAUGACUCAGGCUGGAGAUGGGAGGGAGGGAGGAGGGAGGCGGGACUCUUCCCCGUCUCCUCCCCUCCUCUCCCUCUCCCCGCCCCGGGGUGGGGCCCCGAAGGUCCGGGGCUUUCCCGGAUUUCCCUGGGGGCGGGGCAGCCGCUGGGGUUGAGUCCGGGUCACUGAGUCACAGGAGGCGGAGAGGGAGGCUUUGGGGACACAGGGGGCGGGGCAUGGGGGCUGCACCCCGGACUUGCCCAGGGGGCACGCGGCGUCUCUCUGGUUCUCUCCCCCGGUCUCCUUCUGUCUUCGAAACUUGCCUGACCUCCCUCUGGUUGUCUCCUGCCCCGCCCUCUGUCUCUGUCUCCCCAUCUCUGUUGCUGUCUCUGUGUCCCCUGGGACCUUGAAAGUGGGUAUUGGGGCCCCGGGAAGGGACUUUGGCCGGACUCGGGCCCCACCCGAGUGGAUCGUUAACCCAGGAUGUGAGAAGUGGCUGUGUGGAGAGGCCUCACCCCUUCCCUUCCUUUCGACCUCUCUCUGGAUCUCCCUUAUCCCCCUUCAUGGCGAAACAUCCCGAGCACAGACCUGUGUUAAUUCCACCUCCACCCCUUGCUCCCGGUGGGACCUCAGACAAGCCAUCCCCUGCCUUGAGACUCAGUUUGUUCUUCUGGAAAAUGGGACCAAUGGCAACCCCUGCCUGCUGGUGUUGUGGGGGCCACAGCAAGGGAAGAGGGGAGGAAUUCGGUUGGACAGGCUGGGGGCUGUGUUCCCUGCCCAUCCAACCCCACCCCUGGGGACCCUCAGACACAGGAGAGGGGUGUGGAGCACUAUCCCAAUGCACAGAAAGGAAAGCUGAGGUUUGGAGGGGCGAGGCUUAGGGUGGGGACCCUCAGAGGUAGGGUGGGAAGGACACCCAAGCCUGUCCCACUCCUGGCAUCCCAGGGCAGCUGGUGCAGUGGUUCCAACCUAGCAGGACUGUAGAGGGGAGAAGAUGUGAUGGGUCCGGUGGGAGCUUCGAAGGGCUGGGAGAGACGGUGCUGCUGGAAGAGAGGGUGCUGAUGGUUCUCUGAGGUUGGAAGAGGGAUAAAAGGGUCAGAAGGAGGAGGAUCUGAAGAAGGAAGAUAGGUCUGAGAGAGAAGUAGAUGGUUUAGUGGGAGGAGGGGGAGAGGAUCUGAAGGAGGAGGACAGGGUCUGUUGGAGGAGGUAAGGGUCUGAUGGAGGAAAUAAGGGUCUGAGGGUGGAGGCGAGGUUUGGAGGGAGGAGGUGAGGGUCUGAAGGUGGAGGUGAGGGUUUGAGAGAGGAGGUGAGGGUCUAAAGGAGGAGGUAAGGGUCUGAAGGUGGAGGUGAGCAUCUGAGGAAGGAGGUGAGGGUUUGAGAGAAUAGGUGAGGGUUUGAAGGAGGAGGUAAGGGUCUGAGGGAGGAGGAGAGAGUUGGAGGGGAAAGAAGGGUCUGAGGAAAGAAGAUUUGGAGAGAGUCUGAGGGUAGAGGCCAGAUCUGAGGGAGAAGAAAGAGGCUCAGGGGAAAAGAUCUGAGGGUCCGAGGGUGGAAGGCAUGGACUAGGGGAGGAGGAGCUGGUGGGGUGGAGGGGUGGAGAGGCGUGCCUCCGGAGCCAGCAGGGACCAAGGGGAGGGAAGGGAAGGGAGGCUGGGAGGCAGCCCCGCCCUGCAGCUGUCUCUAAUUUCCCAGAAUCUUCUGCUCUCAGGAAAGUCCCAGCUCCCACAGCAGCCUCCCUCCAAUGUCGGGAACGGAGGAUGCGGAACCAGGAUGGCCACCCCCACCCUCCCCCGGCUCCUUGCACCCCAGGCGGAAAGGACUAGGGUCUCCUUUCUCUGGGCCUUGGCCUCUGGAGGGCCCCCACCCGCAGGGGCAGCCCCUGGAUGAGUCUUAGAAACUUCCCAGAGGAGGCCAGGAAGUUCUGCUUGGUGUCUAACCACUUUCCCCUCAUGCAGGCCGCCCUUUGUACCUGUUCAGAUCUCCUCCCCAGCUGCUGUUUCUUUUUCCCCAACCCAUCCUGGGGGAGGAAAGGCCAGGAAUUUACCUGCUCAAAGUCCUGAGAGGGAAACGAAAUUCCAUCUGGAAGUCUGUAGGCUUGAGGCAGCUUUCUUGCUCUCAGGGGCCUCAAUUUCCCUUUCUAAGAGGAGAGAGUAGGGCUGGUCAGGGCCUAAGUUCCCAUCUGGCUCAAUUACUGGGUCUUGUCCUGCUUUUUUUUUGAGACAAGAUCUGGCUCUGUCUCCCAGGCUGAAGUGCAGUGGUGAGAUCAUAGCUCACUGUAGCCUUGAACUCCUGGACUCAAAUGAUCCUCCUGCCUCAACCUCCCAAGUAGGUGGGACUACAGGCAUGUGCCGCAAUGACUGGCUAAUAAAAAAAACAAUUUGUAGACUCAGGGGGUCUCACUGUGUUGCCCAGGGUGUUCUCGAACUCCUGGGCUCAAGCGAACCUCCCUCCUCGGUCUCCCAAAGUGCUGGGAUUACAGGCGUGAGCCACCGCAUCUGGCUU